rnacentral:rRNA from 1 species
CAGUCGCCGCGGGAAUACGUAGGGUGCAAGCGUUAAUCGGAAUUACUGGGCGUAAAGCGUGCGCAGGCGGUUAUAUAAGUCAGAUGUGAAAUCCCCGGGCUCAACCUGGGAACUGCAUUUGAGACUGUAUGGCUAGAGUGUGUCAGAGGGGGGUAGAAUUCCACGUGUAGCAGUGAAAUGCGUAGAUAUGUGGAGGAAUACCGAUGGCGAAGGCAGCCCCCUGGGGUAACACUGACGCUCAUGCACGAAAGCGUGGGGAGCAAACAGGAUUAGAUACCCCCGUAGUCCCUGUCUCUUAUAC